rnacentral:rRNA from 1 species
GAUGAACGCGGGCGGCGUGCCUAAUACAUGCAAGUAGAACGCUGAAGCUUGGUGCUUGCACCGAGCGGAAGAGUUGCGAACGGGUGAGUAACGCGUAGGUAACCUGCCUCUUAGCGGCGGAUAACUAUUGGAAACGAUAGCUAAUACCGCAUAAAAGUCGACAUUGCAUGAUGUUGACUUGAAGGGUGCAAAUGCAUCACUAAGAGAUGGACCUGCGUUGUAUUAGCUAGUUGGUGAGGUAACGGCUCACCAAGGCGACGAUACAUAGCCGACCUGAGAGGGUGAUCGGCCACACUGGGACUGAGACACGGCCCAGACUCCUACGGGAGGCAGCAGUAGGGAAUCUUCGGCAAUGGACGGAAGUCUGACCGAGCAACGCCGCGUGAGUGAAGAAGGUUUUCGGAUCGUAAAGCUCUGUUGUAAGAGAAGAACGAGUGUGAGAGUGGAAAGUUCACACUGUGACGGUAACUUACCAGAAAGGGACAGCUAACUACGUGCCAGCAGCCGCGGUAAUACGUAGGUCCCGAGCGUUAUCCGGAUUUAUUGGGCGUAAAGCGAGCGCAGGCGGUUAGAUAAGUCUGAAGUUAAAGGCUGUGGCUUAACCAUAGUACGCUUUGGAAACUGUUUAACUUGAGUGCAGAAGGGGAGAGUGGAAUUCCAUGUGUAGCGGUGAAAUGCGUAGAUAUAUGGAGGAACACCGGUGGCGAAAGCGGCUCUCUGGUCUGUAACUGACGCUGAGGCUCGAAAGCGUGGGGAGCAAACAGG